UAAUUAAAGUGGUAACAAUAAAUUCUUAUACAUUGCAUUCCUUACUUAAUGUGCACUGAAUGACUUUCUGGCAUUGUUUAAGUAACAGGUAAGCUGAUUAAAUGAUGGAGCGACAAAGGGACAGAGAUGAAGAUGAUAAAUAUAAGAGAAGAAGAGAUGAUGAUAGAUACAGGAGUGAAAGAGACAGUCAAGAUAGGAGGAGGCUCAACAAUAAGAGUGAUGGAGAAGAUGCAGAUGGUAGGAGGGGACGAGAUAGGAACAAGGAAAUUGUAAAUGACAGGAACAUGAAUAGUAGUGAUGAUGAAGAUGCAAAUGAUAUGAGGAGAAGAGAUAGGAGGCGUGGUGAUGAUUAUGCUAAUGACAGGAGGAGGAGGAGGAGAAGAGAUGGAUGGAGUGACAAUGAAUAUAAAAGUGAUAAAAGGAGAGACAAAAAGAAAGAUAAAGGUAGGGAUGAGGAAGAUGAUAAUGACAGGAGAAGAAGAAGGAGGGAUGAUGAUGAAGAUGGUAAUAAUAGGAGGAACAAGGAAAAGAAUGAAGACAUGAGGAAAAGAGGUAGGAGCAAGGACAUAAGGAGUGAUGAUGAAGAUGGAAAUGAUAAGAACAACAGAAACAAGAAUGUAGACAAGAAAAGAAGUGAUGAACAUGAUCAAAGUGAUGAAGAAGUUGGUGAAAUCAGAAAAAAGAAUGAGGACAGAAGUGAUGAAGAAUAUGGUGAGAUCAGGAAAAGUGGUAGAAAUGGGAAGUAUGAUGAUUCGAGUGAUAAGGAAGGUGGUGAAAUUCGGAAGAGAGGGAGAAAAGGUAAGGAUAGAAGGAGUGAUGAUGAAGAUGAUCGUAAAGACAGAAGAAGGGAAAGAAAGAAUGACAGAAGUGACAAUGAUGAUGAUAAAUAUAAAAGGAGAAGGAAUAGGAACAAAGAUGAAAAGAAUGAUGAUGAAGAUGACAGGAGACAAGAUUAUAAAAGGGACAGAAAGAGGAAUGGUGAUCAUAAAGAGAGAAGAAGAACUGAUAAUGAUGUGUUAAAGCAUAAAGUUGAUCAAAAUGGGGAUAAAGAAAAACCUGAUGAAGGUGCAAGAUUCAAAAAGCUUGCUGAUUUGCAAGAAAGCAUGACUAAUUUAGGAAAGAGUGGAGGGGUGUAUAUUCCACCAUUCAAGUUGGCCCGUAUGAUGAGUGAAUUUCAAGAUAAAAGCAGUAUGGAAUAUCAAAGAAUGACAUGGGAUGCAUUAAGGAAGAGUAUAAAUGGUUUGGUCAACAAGGUCAACGACACAAACAUCAAAAACAUCAUCCCAGAGUUGUUUGCUGAAAAUCUGAUAAGAGGAAGAGGAUUGUUUUGUCGAUCAUGCAUGAAGUCUCAAAUGGCAUCUCCUCGUUUUACAGACGUUUUUUCAGCUCUGGUUGCUGUUGUAAACAGUGUAGAUGACAAGGGCAUAUAAGAGAAAUGACAAGCCUCAAUUACUUGCUGUUGUUAAGUUUAUAGCUCAUUUGGUCAACCAACAUGUAGUUCAUGAGCUUAUUGCUCUUGAACUACUCACAACUCUACUGGAGAAUACCACUGAUGACAGUGUAGAUGUUGUUGUUGGUUUUGUUACAGAAUGUGGAUCAAUACUUCAGGAUCUAUCUCCCCGAGGCUUGCAUGGAAUCUUUGAGCGAUUUCGUAGGAUUCUUCAUGAGGGAGAAAUAGACAAAAGGGUGCAGUUCUUGAUUAAAGGUCUUUUUGCAUUAAGAAAAGCCAAGUUUCAGGGGCAUCCAGCUGUUAGUCCAGAGUUGGAUCUUGUUAAGCUGGAAGAUCAGUUGACACAUGAAGUAUCCCUUCUAGAUAAAAUCGAUCCGGAAUUGCCCUUAGAUUUUUUCAAGAUGGAUCCUGACUUCAUUGAGAAUGAAAAGAAGUUUGAAGACCUGAAGAAAACAAUUCUUGGCGACGAAUCUUCAGAAAAAGAAGAAGGUGUUGGGGAGGAUUCAGAUGAUGAUGAUGAUGAAGAUGAAUCUUCAGAAGAAGAAGAAGACGAAGAGCAAAUGAGAAUCAAAGAUGAAACAGAAACAAAUCCUGUCAAUCUUCGAGGAACAAUCUACUUAACAAUCAUGUCAAGUGUUGACUUUGAAGAAGCCGGUCAUAAACUCCUCAAAAUCAAACUCGAACCCGGACACGAGAUGGAGCUAUGCAUAAUGCUACUGGAAUGUUGUAGUCAAGAGAGAACAUAUCUUCGAUACUAUGGUCUUUUAGGUCAAAGGUUUUGCAUGAUCAACAAAGUCUAUCAAGAAAAUAUUGAAAAAUGUUUUGUUCAACAAUACUCCAUGAUCCACCGCCUCGAGACUAACAAACUCAGAAUGUUGCGAAAUUCUUCGCGCAUCUCCUCGGGACGGAUGCCUUGCCUUGGCAUGUCUUGGCUUACAUUCGUCUCACUGAAGAAGACACCACUUCCUCUUCCAGGUACUUUUCUUUUAUUGUACGACAGGAGCUGUCUGGGCAUCUUGGGAUUCGGCUGUUGAACGAGCGGUUGAGUGAGUCGGUGAUGCAAGAGGAUUUUGAGUCGAUUUUCCCGAGAGAUAAUCCCAAGAACACGUUGUUUUCAAUCAAUUUUUUUUACUUCCAUUGGGCUUGGUGGGAUUACUGAGAAUUUGAGGGAGUAUCUCAAGAACAUGCCUCGUCUUAUUAUGCAACAAAAGCCUGCGUCGGAAUCGGAUCCGGUUCCGGUUCUGGUUCCGAUUUCAGUUCUGAUUCUGAUUCCGGUUCCGAUUCUAGUUCGGGGUCUGAGUCGGAGAGUGAGAGUGAGACUAAUCAUAAGAGCAGCAAGCGCCGAAAGAAACGUUAGAUGCUUUACAUGUAUUGUUAUGUUGAGAAGAAAAUGAAUAUCUGGUUUUUGGUAUCUUGUAAGAUGUUAAUGACUAGUUGUUUUUGGAGGUUUGUUUUAUUUGAUUGUAACGUUAUAUGAUUUUCAACAAACUGGAUCUCAAUGUGUAAAAUCUGUAAU